CGCAAAUUAUAACCCAUCAAAGACCUUAUAAUAUACCAUUGACUAAGUGAAUAUAUUUAGAUUAUGGACUCGCAUCUGAUUAGCUAGUUGGUGGGGGAAAUAGCUUACCAAGGCCAUAAUUUUUUUUUUUUUUUUUUUUUAAGGGAAAUAGCAUACCAAGGCCAUGAUCAGUAGCUGGUUCAAGAGGAUAAUCAGCUAGACUGGGACUGAGACACAGCCAAGACUCCUACAAGAGGCAGCG
rnacentral:ncRNA from 1 species